AUUGAACGCUGGCGGCAGGCCUAACACAUGCAAGUCGAGCGGAUGACGGGAGCUUGCUCCUUGAUUCAGCGGCGGACGGGUGAGUAAUGCCUAGGAAUCUGCCUGGUAGUGGGGGACAACGUUUCGAAAGGAACGCUAAUACCGCAUACGUCCUACGGGAGAAAGCAGGGGACCUUCGGGCCUUGCGCUAUCAGAUGAGCCUAGGUCGGAUUAGUUAGUUGGUGGGGUGAUGGCUCACCAAGGCGACGAUCCGUAACUGGUCUGAGAGGAUGAUCAGUCACACUGGAACUGAGACACGGUCCAGACUCCUACGGGAGGCAGCAGUGGGGAAUAUUGGACAAUGGGCGAAAGCCUGAUCCAGCCAUGCCGCGUGUGUGAAGAAGGUCUUCGGAUUGUAAAGCACUUUAAGUUGGGAGGAAGGGCAGUAAGUUAAUACCUUGCUGUUUUGACGUUACCGACAGAAUAAGCACCGGCUAACUCUGUGCCAGCCGCCGCCGUAA
rnacentral:rRNA from 1 species